rnacentral:lncRNA from 1 species
GUGUGUGUGUGUGUGAAGGAGAGACGUAUUAUAGAAGCCAAAAUGGGUGCGUACGUGUGAAAGAAAGAAGAGGGGUCUUAAUCUCUACAGCAUGAAGAGAGAGAAAGUGGAGAGAGAGAGUAGAGAGAGAGAGAGAGAGAGAGGAGAUUAAGGAGGAAGACAGAAGAGUGUGAUUUUAUUGGGUGGUGAGACUGAGAGGUUGAAUGAGCUGUUCUCUUUGUAGCUUAGACAAAUAUUCAUUCUGUUCAAAGGGUUUU